rnacentral:lncRNA from 1 species
CCCGAAUUCGACUAAUUAAAUUCGGUUCAAUUAACCCAAUUAACCCAAUUUAAAUUCGGUUCAUUAAACUGGAGAAAACAUGCUGACAACACAUUAGAGGCUAAUAGAAUCUCAUAUAUAAAGGAUUUAAUUGAAAUUCUAGCUUAAUCAUCAGGGCGAGGUUAGUGGUGUUCCGGAAGUUCGAUCCGCUGAAAUUCGCAGGAAGGAAUGAUGACAGUUGGGUAGUCGAGAGCUGGGUUG